AAUCCAUAGGUUAAUGAGGCGAACCGGGGGAACUGAAACAUCUAAGUACCCCGAGGAAAAGAAAUCAACCGAGAUUCCCCCAGUAGCGGCGAGCGAACGGGGAGGAGCCCAGAGCCUGAAUCAGCAUGUGUGUUAGUGGAAGCGUCUGGAAAGGCGCGCGAUACAGGGUGACAGCCCCGUACACAAAAGCGCAUGUGCUGUGAGCUCGAUGAGUAGGGCGGGACACGUGGUAUCCUGUCUGAAUAUGGGGGGACCAUCCUCCAAGGCUAAAUACUCCUGACUGACCGAUAGUGAACCAGUACCGUGAGGGAAAGGCGAAAAGAACCCCGGCGAGGGGAGUGAAAAAGAACCUGAAACCGUGUACGUACAAGCAGUGGGAGCCCCACCACCAAAG
rnacentral:rRNA from 1 species